rnacentral:lncRNA from 1 species
AUUAAAGGAAAAUCUACUGAAGCAUUUAUCGUAAACGGGCAGCGUCUAAAACAUUAUCAUUAUGCAGAAAACAAUGAAGACUCGCAAGUCCUGCACUUAGACGUAUUGUCUCCAAAAUUAAUAGAUUAACAUCUAAUAGUUUUGUGUCGAGCUUGCGACAUUAAACAAAGCGCUUCGUGGGAGACAACAUACAAACUUUUAUUUAUUUUUCUUCUUUGACUAUUCUUUUGAUUUUAUUUAGUAUUCAUUCUUCAUUUUAUUUUAUUUUUAUUAAAUUUUUCU